AGAGUGAACGCUGGCGGUAGGCCUAACACAUGCAAGUCGAACGGCAGCACAGUAGGAGCUUGCUCUUACGGGUGGCGAGUGGCGGACGGGUGAGGAAUACAUCGGAAUCUACCUUUUGGUGGGGGAUAACGUAGGGAAACUUACGCUAAUACCGCAUACGCCCUUCGGGGGAAAGCCGGGGGACCAGCAAUGGCCUGGCGCUGAUAGAUGAGCCGAUGUCGGAUUCGCUAGUUGGUGAGGUAAUGGCUCACCAAGGCGACGAACUCCGUAGCUAGGUCUGACGAGGAUGAUCAGCCCACACUGGAACUGAAGACGACGGUCAGACUCCUACGGGAGCAGCAGGU
rnacentral:rRNA from 1 species